UCGCUUUGGCAGCAAAUACACUAAAAUUGGAACAAUACAGAGAAGAUUAGCAUGGCUCCUGCGCAAGGAUGACACACAAAUUCGUGAAGCAUUCCAUAUUUUU
rnacentral:snRNA from 1 species